GCAGAAUCAAGAUCUGAGUUGCAGGGUUCAAAAACAAGAUGGGGAGAAGGCGGAAGUCCUGAGAGGAAAUAACGAUAUUAAAGAAGAAUUUAAAAGACAACAGAAAUCUCAAGGCUGCUGUCGGAAAAAGACAAGCUCUAAUUGAAGAACAAGGAGCGUUUGGUGAAAAAGGACCAACUGCAGAAAAAGAGUUUGAAGAAAGACAGAGCAGGCUCUUGGUCUUCCUUCAGGGUCUUCACCAAGGACCCCACCACCAUUUUGCCCACCUCCCCUCCUCCUCCUCCUCUCGUUGCUUCCAGCCCAGCAGCCUCUUCCCAGCGGUGAAGGAGAAGGGAACAGUUGAAAGGGUGCUGGGAGGCAUCAGGACCAGCAGAAUUUCACCCCCCCAUCCUCCUCCUUGAAAUGAUUGUUAUAUUUCUCCUUUCAAAGUUUGUCGCAUCAAUUUCUAAUCAAUAUCACAGAUUUUCAAACACCAAGAGUGAGAUUGUCCUUGCUGCAAAUCAUUAUUUAUGUAUCCAUUAGAUAAAUUACAAUAAAUUGCACUUCUGUAUCUUCUCACAAAAUAAACUUUUUAGCAAGCAAAUCUUUAUGAAUAAAGUUGGGAGCUUCAUUUUUUUUUAUUAUAUUUCUUCUCCUGGAAAUGACAAAUAAAAGAAAGAAUACCUGCAGAGCUUUCUGUAAAUAUUAU